AUUGAACGCUGGCGGCAGGCCUAACACAUGCAAGUCGAACGGUAACAGGAAGCAGCUUGCUGCUUUGCUUACGAGUGGCGGACGGGUGAGUAAUGUCUGGGAAACUGCCUGAUGGAGGGGGAUAACUACUGGAAACGGUAGCUAAUACCGCAUAACGUCGCAAGACCAAAGAGGGGGACCUUCGGGCCUCUUGCCAUCGGAUGUGCCCAGAUGGGAUUAGCUAGUAGGUGGGGUAACGGCUCACCUAGGCGACGAUCCCUAGCUGGUCUGAGAGGAUGACCGGCCACACUGGAACUGAGACACGGUCCAGACUCCUACGGGAGGCAGCAGUGGGGAAUAUUGCACAAUGGGCGCAAGCCUGAUGCAGCCAUGCCGCGUGUAUGAAGAAGGCCUUCGGGUUGUAAAGUACUUUCAGCGGGGAGGAAGGGAGUAAAGUUAAUACCUUUGCUCAUUGACGUUACCCGCAGAAGAAGCACCGGCUAACUCCGUG
rnacentral:rRNA from 1 species